rnacentral:rRNA from 1 species
GUACACAAAAAUGCACAUAUUGUGAGCUCGAUGAGUAGGGCGGGACACGUGGUAUCCUGUCUGAAUAUGGGGGGACCAUCCUCCAAGGCUAAAUACUCCUGACUGACCGAUAGUGAACCAGUACCGUGAGGGAAAGGCGAAAAGAACCCCGGCGAGGGGAGUGAAAAAGAACCUGAAACCGUGUACGUACAAGCAGUGGGAGCCUCUUAAUGGGGUGACUGCGUACCUUUUGUAUAAUGGGUCAGCGACUUAUAUUCUGUAGCAAGGUUAACCGAAUAGGGGAGCCGAAGGGAAACCGAGUCUUAACUGGGCGUUAAGUUGCAGGGUAUAGACCCGAAACCCGGUGAUCUAGCCAUGGGCAGGUUGAAGGUUGGGUAACACUAACUGGAGGACCGAACCGACUAAUGUUGAAAAAUUAGCGGAUGACUUGUGGCUGGGGGUGAAAGGCCAAUCAAACCGGGAGAUAGCUGGUUCUCCCCGAAAGCUAUUUAGGUAGCGCCUCGUGAAUUCAUCUCCGGGGGUAGAGCACUGUUUCGGCAAGGGGGUCAUCCCGACUUACCAACCCGAUGCAAACUGCGAAUACCGGAGAAUGUUAUCACGGGAGACACACGGCGGGUGCUAACGUCCGUCGUGAAGAGGGAAACAACCCAGACCGCCAGCUAAGGUCCCAAAGUCAUGGUUAAGUGGGAAACGAUGUGGGAAGGCCCAGACAGCCAGGAUGUUGGCUUAGAAGCAGCCAUCAUUUAAAGAAAGCGUAAUAGCUCACUGGUCGAGUCGGCCUGCGCGGAAGAUGUAACGGGGCUAAACCAUGCACCGAAGCUGCGGCAGCGACACUAUGUGUUGUUGGGUAGGGGAGCGUUCUGUAAGCCUGUGAAGGUG